UACGUAGGAGGCAAGCGUUGUCCGGAGUUACUGGGCGUAAAGCGUGUGUAGGCGGCCAGACAGGUCAGCUGUGAAAACUCGAGGCUCAACCUCGAGACGUCGGUUGAAACCGUCUGGCUAGAGUCCGGAAGAGGAGAGUGGAAUUCCCGGUGUAGCGGUGAAAUGCGCAGAUAUCGGGAAGAACACCCGUGGCGAAGGCGGCUCUCUGGGACGGUACUGACGCUGAGACGCGAAAGCGUGGGGAGCGAACAGG
rnacentral:rRNA from 1 species